CAAGGCUGCACCGCUUGGCACGAUGCCGGCUGCCCCGCUCCCACACCAGGCACCCCAACGUGACACCAGGCACCCCACUAUGGGACGCAGGAUGGUGCAGCACUGACCCUCGCCAUACAGGACCCUCACUGCACCCUGCUGCUACACUCAGCCUGGGGGUGUCCUUCCCCACUCCCCCCAGGGCGGGCGGUGGGACGGAUGCUGGGCAGUUCCCACAUCACUUCCUUUGGCCGCGGUACUGGUGGUGCUGGUGGCAAGGCCCCGCUGCCCGCGUGGCCCCCCCAUUGCUCCCUGCGUGUGCUGCGCACGCCGGUGGGGCCCUCACAUUCCUCGGGCUAUUUUUAGGGUGGCCCUAUCAGCCCAGCUGUCCCCGUGCCGGCCCCUUGCACCCGGCUGUGCCGCGCUCGCCUCGGUGGAAGACCCCGCUCCCGGCUCACCACGACCCUCGCGGCUGCAGCUCCAUGAGACAUCACCAUGGCCUUUUCAUCCCGGUUUGCGUUCUGGGAGCAGAAGGGAAGUCUCUUGCCUGUUUGCCUGCACCCUGCGUUCGGGUCACACUGCCUUAGCGCUGGCACUGCCCUGGCCUCACCAUAGCAUGGCCACGGUCACCGGUGUGGCCACGCAUGCAGUGACUAACGCCAUCACUAACAGCCCCUUUGUGAGCAGCCCCUAACACAGUGUGAGCCCCCCCAGUGCCACUGGCCAGCCCUGGAGCUCAGGGGCAGGGCAGGGUUGUCCUGCUUGGCACAUCCCAUGGCAUGCUGCAGUGAUGAGCUGGUGACACUUAAAACGUGCUGUGACACCUGUGGGGUGACGUGCAGACAGGCAGAGCCCCCAUGGGAGGGGUGACGGGCUCGAUGUACCAGCUCACUCACUGCCUGCAUGCAUUGAAGGGACCAGGCAGGGUCCUUUCCCACUUCUGGGGUUUGCCAUAACCAGGGCAUAUCUCUGUGCUCCAGUCCCUGGGAAGCCUGGAAGGACAAAUGUCCUCACCCUUGGGGCUGCAACAGGCUGCAAAUUGGGGCUGUUUCUUACUUUCUUGCCCCCCUGGCAUGGAGUGAUGAUCCCGAUGGCUUUUCCUGGUCCCUGUGGCUUUUCUGGCAGCGAGGCCCCACAAAGGGCUGAAACAGGCUCCUCUUGUUUGUCUGACCCUCAGGUCAAGGACGAGGACAAGUCUUUAGCUGUGAAAAGGCCUGGGAAGGAGGAUGGGGCUGUAAGUGUUGAAGGGCAGGGUGGAGCUGUGCUGGGAAUGGGGCUUGCUGUGGUGGGGACAGACCCUGUAUAAGGCUUUGGGGUCAUUGUGGAGGGUCCUGGGGACAUCGGAUGGGGCUGUGGG
rnacentral:lncRNA from 14 species